rnacentral:lncRNA from 1 species
GUUGCUACGUAGGCAAUAUCUAUUUACUCAUCUUUCUUUUCACAGGAAUCCUAACCCUAUUUCAGAAUUCACCUUGCCUGCAUGCCCCACAAGAAACUCCAAAGAAGCUGACUUAACACACAGCUCCAAGGAAAGGGAUGAAGAUACUGGUGCAAUAGGUACAUUAGAGAUACUGAUGAGCAACUAUGAUUCUUCAACUUUGAUCUCAGCCUUUGACCCCGUGCUUGACUGACUCUGUGUGGGAUCAGCGACAGAGAGAGAUAUUAGGGGAUGACGUGAAUGGAAGAGGAGAAACAGACAACAGAGCAUACUGUGGGACAAAAAGAUUCUGGGAACCAAUUUAUGGAGGAUUAUGGUGAGUUGGUUUUUGUUACAUUCUCUAUUAAUUAUUAAUGUAUUUCUUAAUACCCAGCUGUGUCCAAAGAAAAUUUUCAGAGUGAGUAAAGUGAGGUAAUUUAUGUUUUAAAAUUAGACAGAAGGCGCCCGGGUGGCUCAGUCGGUUAAGCGUCC